rnacentral:rRNA from 1 species
CGCUACACUGACCGAGGCAACGAGUGUAUCACCUGGCCCGAGAGGGAUUCUGGGUAAUCUUGUGAAACUCGGUCGUGCUGGGGAUAGAGCAUUGGAAUUGUUGCUCUUCAACGAGGAAUUCCUAGUAAGCGCAAGUCAUCAGCUUGCGUUGAUUACGUCCCUGCCCUUUGUACACACCGCCUGUCGCUACUACCGACUAGGUCAGUUAGUGAGCACUCGGGACUGGCGAACGGGGGCUGGCAACGGCCGUCCGAUUGCUGGAAACUUGUGCAAACUUGCUGGCCCGGAGGAAGUAAAAGUCAUAACAAGGUUUCUGUAGGUGAACCUGCAGAAGGAUCAGAGUAGUUUUUGAUGGUGGCAGGUACGCCUGCCGCCGCCAGCUCCCUAUCCACACACACACCAGUGAAGGGGUGAACAGCCCGCAACACACACACACACGCACGCAGUGAACGUAUGCAUAUCGUCGGACACACACGACACAAAAAAAACACAAUCGUUGACAACGGAUCUCUUGGUUCUCCCAUCGAUGAAGAACGCAACGAAAUGCGAUAAGUAAUGUGAAUUGCAGAAUGGACGUGAAUCAUCGAAUCUUUGAACGCACCUUGCGCUCGCUGGUAUUCCGGCGAGCAUGCCUGUUUGAGUAUCGCGCAUUCUCGUGGGGUAGUGGUUGUUGAUGCAACUUCUACGUCGCGGUGCCUGGGCGCAUGUCUUGCUUACGUCAGACUCGCCUGAAAUGCAUGAGCACGUGUGUAGCGCCACUUCGCACCGUUUAGGUAAUUCCGAGAGCGGAGGCGAGGAGCGCAAUACGCACACAGCUUCGAAUGGGUGCCUCUGUGCACCACACUACCGAACGC